rnacentral:sRNA from 1 species
ACAGUGUUGAAAAGUCUGAUUCCACCUGUGCUUGCACAAAGGUGGGAUCAGACUUUGAAACAUGCCCAGAUAUGAGCAUAAAAGUGGAGCGUAAGCUUCACGAUAUGCGAAUAGCUGGCAGGAUUGCGGGAGUACGAAGUACGGAGCAAUCCGUGU